rnacentral:rRNA from 1 species
UGAGUAACCUGCCCUUAACUCUGGGAUAAGCCCUGGGGAAACUGGGUCUAAUACCGGAUAUGACUCCUCAUCGCAUGGUGGGGGGUGGAAAGCUUUUUGUGGUUUUGGAUGGACUCGCGGCCUAUCAGCUUGUUGGUGAGGUAAUGGCUCACCAAGGCGACGACGGGUAGCCGGCCUGAGAGGGUGACCGGCCACACUGGGACUGAGACACGGCCCAGACUCCUACGGGAGGCAG